GUUCACUAGUAGCCUUCACCUGACUCUAAAGGCUCAGGUGACUCCCACCUGAAUCUUCCCCAAGUUGCCUUUAAAACUCUUUUUAAUGUACUGUUCACCAGCUGGGGAAGGUGGAACUCAAGCUUUAUGCUUCUCCCAUGGACAGACUGCCAGUCGCUGCUGGAUUGAACAGUGUAAAGACAUCCCUAUGCGAAACCUGCCACUCUGAGUUGGAAUCUUUUACUGAGAGCUCUCUCCUGGAUCUUGAUAUGAGGUACACAAGAUUCAAUGAGCCUAGUCUACCCCGAUGUAGCUUCAGUGAAAUGAGUGGGGUAACACCAGAGGUGGAUUUGCCUAAUUUGUAAAAUGGAAAUGAAUAAAUACAUAAUUAUAGCCAUAACUUUCAGCAUUACGACAUCUGUUCUUUCUGGGUAAACCUGGAGCUUUUGGCAGCAUAGCAGAUACAUUCUAUCUGGAUGAAGACAGAACAUUUGGCAGUGGUCAAGUGGUUAUGCUCACCCUUCAUUGUAAACUUAGGGCUUGAUCCAAGCCCUUUGCUGGGAGUUUGCUGGGAACAGAAUUGUGCCUUGAAAUGCAUGCUUGAAAAAGUAUG